UUCUCUCACAAAGAGAGAGAAACACAAGGUCUUUGCACUCCAAAGAAAUCCAAGAAAUUCAAUCUCUUCAAAACUGCCGCUUGGAAAAACAGAACGCUCGAAUGACAAGUGUGGGGAAAGCUGGGAAGAGAUGACGCUAAGUGAGGAAACACAAGAAUCAGGGGAGCGAAACUACAUUUCCCAGAAAGCCACGGGCUGGCCUGCAACCACCGUGCUCCCCAAGCCCGCCGGAAGCCUCCGUCUCGCUCUUCAGUAACCUGUUCGCCGCCGUCCCUUUUUCUAAGGAACGUUAGAGAAAGCCAAGGAAGGAAAGGCUAACUGUAGUACAGCAGCGAAGGUUUUGCCACCAGUGUCUUUCUGAGCCGUGGUCAUUCCGACCUUCGCUUGUAAAGGAACUGGAAAACCCACGGCAACCGGGCUGGGCCUACGGACCAUGUGACCAGGCUGGGUCACGUGACUCCAGAGCCCGGCAGCUAAAGUUUGUUACCCCGGCAACUGGUGGACCCGCACAGACCUUUCCGGAAAGCGCGGAAUUCAGAGGCAGAGGUAAGAGUGCUUCCAGUGUUUGAUAUACUUUAGAAUGUUCACUCUGGGAGGUCAAAAUUGUUGACUAUGGCUGACUGUUCCCAAGAAGAGCUAGAUGAAGAGUUUGAACAGUUUAUGAAAGAGCUUUCAGAUGAUUCUUCUGAAAAUUCAGACAAAAGAGCUAGACAACCUAGAAAAGACAUGAAGAAGAAAGAUACGGUGCCUUGGUGGAUAACUGAAGAUGAUUUUAAGGAUGAUGGACUGCUUGGAACAAAUGUGAGCUAUUUGAAAACAAAGAAGACUUCUCAACCUGUUACGGAAAUAGAAGAGGAGUCUGCUGAAAAGAUUCAGUUUCUUAAGAGCAGUGGAACCUCUCUCUUAAGUACUGACAGCUUAGAAACAAAUGAACUGGUAGUUUCUGAGCUCAACCAUAGUAUUCUCAGAGUGGGAUUGGACACAUUAGAAGAACAAGAGGAGAAAGAACAAUUUUUUGCCAGGCUUGAGAAAGGCUUGACAUCUUCCAUUGAUUAUUCGAGAUUAAAUAAGGAAUUGGAUUCUAAUGACUCUGUAUAUUUUAAAGAUUUACAAAGUAAUCAAGCCAAUUUAGACCUAACUGAUGACAAACAUGAGAAUGGAUUGAAACACGAGGAACUGGCAGAAAAUUACAGUGAUGAUUUUGAAGAUGAGUAUGUUGACACACCUUUGACUACUAAAGAUGAAGAUACCCAUUCCAAAGAGAAUUCUGAAUCAGAAAAAAUAAGCACACCCAAACAGGAAGAAGAAAAAACUGGCAUGCUGGCUAAUGUUGUGCUGCUUGAUUCAUUAGACUCUGUUGCAGAGGUCAACCUUGAUGAACAAGAUAAAACAACACCUAAGCCAAAGGGUCUACCAGAAAUGACUGAUAAUGAAAUGACAGGAACAGGUAUUUCUUACGGACAAAGCAAUAGUGACAUUGAAGCCCUACAUCAAGCUUAUUCUCAUAUAGCACAUUCAUUGGGAGAUGAAGAUGAACAAAAAAUUGAGAGUAACACAAUAGAAGAUACCAAGAGUUCAGUGAAAGGUCAUCCUCAAGAAAGUGAAGAGCAUUCAAAAAACAUCUCUACUAUGGAAUCUGAUCUGCCCACAGUAGAGGAGCUAAUGAAACCUAUCAGAAUAGAUUCAUUUGGGGUCAGUGGUUUUGAUUUACAAGCUGUCAGCUCUGAGAAAGUGGCUGAAAGUAAAGAAACUGAAUUUGUUAGCUCUUUACCCCUGAAGAUGAACCCAAAUAUUAUAUCUCAAGACUCACAAAAUAUAAACCAUUUUUUUGACAAAAAUGAUGAGAAUGUGAUUUUACAAAAGACCACAAAUGAGAGUAUGGAGAACAGCUGUCCAAGAGUAACUGCCACAGAAGAACAUGUUGAUAAAAUGUACCUUGAUAUUUUGAGGAAAAAAAUAUCUGUUAAUUCCUCAUCAUUAUCUCAGGAUGACAGAAUUAGUAAAGCUUACAGAUCUCAACUUAGUUCUGAAGAAGAAGGGGCUGUAAUGGGUAAACCAGUACCAUACAAGAAGGCCAGAAGUGCACCUCCUUUACUUAAAAGGAAACCCCAGAAAGGAUUGUAUGCAUCAGUUAGGAGCUCAGGCUAUGGCAAACCCAGUUCACCACUCAAGAUGUUUUCUACUCUUGAAAAGAAAACUUCAGAGGACACUAUGAAAAGCAGAAACCUGAGAUCCAUUCCCACCUCCAAUCAACCUAGGAAAAAAGAAAUCUUAUCUGGAACAAAACUCAUCAAGCCUGCAGCUUUGGAUAAACCAGCUCUCAAAACUGAAAGUUGCCUGGCUACUCCUCAGAAGUUUGAAGAUCCCACAGAAACUGAUUUCUGUAUUCAACUUCAUACGGAUUUCUUAGGUUACUGUGGUGAGAACAAGGAGAAGGAAUUACUUAUGUUUAAAAGAGUACAUGAAGCAGAGGAAAAAUGGAGGGGUGCACAAGCCCUAAUUGAGCAAAUUAAAGUCACAUUCUCAGAAAAAGAGAAAGAACUAGAAAAUAAGUUAGAAGAAUUAAAGAAACAACAGGAAAAAGAACUCUUCAAAUUGAAUCAAGAUAAUUAUAUUCUUCAAGCCAAGUUAAGCAGCUUUGAAGAAACAAACAAAAAACAAAGGUGGUUACAUUUCGGAGAAGCAGCUGAUCCUGUCACUGGAGAAAAAUUGAAGCAAAUCCAAAAAGAAAUACAAGAACAGGAGACACUUCUUCAAGGAUAUCAACAGGAAAAUGAACGAUUAUAUAAUCAAGUAAAAGAUCUCCAAGAACAAAACAAGAAAAAUGAGGAGCGAAUGUUUAAGGAAAAUCAGAGUUUAUUCAGCGAGGUAGCUUCCUUAAAAGAACAGAUGCACAAAAGUCGUUUUCUGUCUCAAGUAGUUGAAGAUUCAGAGCCCACCAGAAACCAGAAUUUUACAGAUCUGUUAGCAGAACUACGGAUGGCACAGGUAAUGGCUGAGGAUUCUCUAGAAGUGAUAAAAGAUGAAUUCUCAAAUUUAGGAAGCACAAAAGAAAAAAACAGUUUAUUGGAAGACAUCAAAAGACUGAAACAAGACAAACAAGCUCUUGAAGUAGACUUGGAAAAAAUGAAGAAAGAGAGGGACCAAGCCAAAGAUCAGAUUGCUUAUGUCACAGGUGAAAAAUUAUAUGAAAUAAAAAUUUUAGAAGAAACACAUAAACGAGAAAUCAGUCGUCUGCAAAAAAGAUUACAGUGGUAUGCUGAAAACCAGGAACUUCUAGAUAAAGAUGCACUUCGGCUUAGAGAAGCAAAUGAGGAAAUUGAGAAGCUCAAACUUGAGAUUGAGAAACUGAAAACUGAAUCUGGGAAUCCAUCUAUUCAGCAGAAGAUACGCUUAAAAGAUAAAGCAGCAGAUGCCAAAAAAAUUCAGGAUCUAGAGCGACAAGUUAAAGAAAUGGAAGGGAUUCUGAAGAGAAGAUAUCCCAAUUCUUUACCUGCUUUAAUAUUGGCUGCAUCAGCAGCUGGUGACACAGUGGAUAAAAAUACCGUGGAAUUUAUGGAGAAAAGGAUUAAAAAGCUAGAAGCUGAUCUGGAGGGCAAAGAUGAAGAUGCAAAGAAAAGCCUUCGUACCAUGGAACAACAGUUUCAGAAAAUGAAGAUUCAGUAUGAACAAAGACUAGAGCAGCAGGAGCAGCUCCUUGCUUGCAAAUUGAAUCAACAUCACUCUCCCAGAAUUAAAGCACUAGAGAAGGAACUUGAUGACACUAAGGAAGCCCAUCAGAUCACUGUACGAAAGCUUGAAGCUGAAAUAGACGUUCUUAAGCACCAGAAUGCUGAAUUAGACGUCAAGAAAAGUGGUAAAGUUGAUAAAGACUUUCAGUCUAUAGAAUUUCAAGUGGAGCAGGCUCAUGCUAAAGCUAAACUAGUAAGACUCAAUGAAGAGCUGGCUGCAAAAAAGAGAGAAAUACAAGACCUUUCAAAAACUGUGGAGAGGCUUCAGAAAGAAAGAAGAAUGAUGCUAUCUAAUCAGAACUCUAAGGGCAGAGAGGAAAUGUCUGCCAAAAGGGCAAAGAAAGAUGUUUUGCACUCAAGUAAAGGGAAUGCUAACUCCUUCCCUGGAACCCUGGAUAGCAAGCUUUACCAGCCACGAACUUUCACUGAUUCCCAUGUUUCAGAAGUUUUAGAAGAAAACUACAGAUUAAAAACUGAGCUAGAGGAAUUAAUUUCAGAGAAGAAUGAUCUGAAGAUGAAAUCUGAAGCAGCAAUGAAUGAAUUUGAAAACUCCAUGAGAAGGGUCAAGGAAGAUAGUGCAGCACACAUUGCAUCCCUCAAAGCAUUUCAUCAGAGGGAAACAGAGAAACUCCUUUGCCAAAAUGCAGUAGAAAAUUCUUCUUCCAAAGUAGCAGAACUAAAUCGUAAAAUAGCAACUCAAGAGGUACUUAUAAAACAUUUCCAAAGUCAAGUUAAUGAGCUGCAGAGUAAACAAGAGUCUCUUGUAAUUUCUCAAGUUCGAGAAGAAAUUCUACAGAAAGAGAAAAGCAGGUUCACGGGGAACGAUCCAAGAUGGCCGAUCGCUAACAUCCCGGGAUUGCAGCUCUCAGGGAAGGCGCGGAGAACUAGAGGACGCCACACUUUCAGACAAAGUCUGGUCGCUCACGGAGCAGAAGAUCCCCCAGUGGUGGAAACACACGGGUCGCCAGCGCGACUCUCGUGGUCGGCGCAGCGGUUCCGCCGGCACCUCGGCGCGGCAGCUCUCGGAGCAGAGUAAACGGGACGGGUUCCCCUUCUGACCGAGGUUUGGAGCCCUGGGAAGGCAGAGUCGCCUACUACGGAAACAAGAAGGAAGCCCGACAGGAGAAUCCUGGGCGGAAAAGCACCAUCAGUUUUAACGCCGCUGCUCUGGCCCUGGGAACUAACAACCUGGACGUCCACUCAAGAGACCUAAUCUGAAAGUUGGUAACUUCAAAGACGAGAGGAGGAUAAAUUUACAAUGACGGGAAGAAACCAGCGUAAAAAAGCUGAGAAUACUCAAAGUCAGAACGCCUCUCCCUCUAAAGAUGAUCACAGUUCCACAUCAACAAUGGAACAAGGCUUGAUGGAGAACGAGCGCCUCCUGAUGACAGAAUCACUCUUCAAGGAAUGGAUAAUAACAAAAUUCGAUUACAAAACUCUUAGAAGAAUUGAGAGAAGCCAGAGAAAACCAUACACCAGAGAUGAAACAUUUCAUGGGCUUAGAAAUGAAAAUUAAGCAGAUGGAAAUGAGACAUGUACAAAG